rnacentral:rRNA from 1 species
UACGAAGGGGGCUAGCGUUGCUCGGAAUCACUGGGCGUAAAGCGCACGUAGGCGGUCCCUUAAGUCGGAUGUGAAAUCCCUCGGCUCAACUGAGGACGUGCAUCCGAAACUGAGGGGCUGGAGUAUGGUAGAGGGUCGCGGAAUUCCCGGUGUAGAGGUGAAAUUCGUAGAUAUCGGGAGGAACACCGGUGGCGAAGGCGGCGACCUGGGCCAAUACUGACGCUGAGGUGCGAAAGCGUGGGGAGCAAACAGG